UACGGGGGGUGCGAGCGUUGUCCGGAAUCACUGGGCGUACAGGGCGCGUAGGUGGUCUGCUAAGGGUGUGGUGAAAGUCCGGGGCUCAACCCCGGAUCUGCCGUGCCGACUGUCAGACUCGAGGACUGUAGAGGCAGGCGGAAUUCCGGGUGUAGCGGUGGAAUGCGUAGAGAUCAAGAGGAACACCUGAGGUGAAGACGGGUUGCGGGGCCGACACUGACGCUGAGUGCGCGAAAGCCAGGGGAGCAAACGGG
rnacentral:rRNA from 1 species